UCCCUUCCCCUCUGUGCAAACCAGUUGAAUGAAUGGUAAAAAUCACUGUCUCCUCUGUAAAGUUUUGAUUAAUGGGAGAAAUGAUUUGAAAGCCUAAUCUUAACCUGUAGCCAAUCUGGUGUACUUUGUCUUUCUGUAUUGUUCUGUCAUAAAGAGGGGUACCUUAGGAGAGAACAUAGGGUUAGGACACCUGUAAGCCUGCUUUCAAGAUGGCCCAGCAAACUGGCUAACGCUGCUCAUUCCUGGGAACCAACCAGUGAUCUCUGACUGCUGCUCAGAAGAAACAAGAGGGCUAGAUAUCACCUUCUGUCAGAACUCAAGAGUUAUGAAUGACCCUCAACAUACCAGUGCUUUCUGACUGAGCUCCCCUGUACCCUGAACACAAGAGACCCUAAUAGAUAGGCAGGAAUAUCAUCACCCCUCUUCAGCCUGAAGAUGUUACAGAAGACGGAUCUUAAUCCCUCUGCAACCCUAAGGAUUAAGGCUUCUCUUAUAAAAGGGAUGGGGAAAAUGUCAGAUGCAUUUGAACCAGAGCAACUCCAUCUUGAAUAGGGCCUGGGUAAAAUGAAGCUGAGACCUACUGUGCUGCAUUCCCAGAUGGUCACGGCAUUCUAAGUCACAGGAUGAGAUAGGAGGUCGCAAAAGAUACAGGUCAUGAAGACCUUGGGGAUAAAACAGGUUGCAGUGAAUAAGCCAGGUAAAACUCAUCAAAACCAAUAUGCUGACACAAAUAACCUCUGCUUGUCCUCACUGCUACACUCCCACCAGUGCAACGACAGUUUACAAAUGCCAUGGCAACAUCAGGAAGUUAACUUAUAUGUUCUAUAAAGGGGAGGCAUAAAUAAUCCACUCCUUGUUUGGCAUAUCAUCAAGAAAUAACCAUACAAAUGGGAAACCAGCAGCCCUCAGGGCUGCUCUGAUUAUGGAGUAGCCAUUCUUUUAUCCUUUACUUUCCUAAUUAACUUGCUUUCACUUUAUCCUUUGGACUCAUCCUGAAUUCUUUCCUGUGUGUGAUCCAAGAACCCUCUCUUUCGGUCUGGAUCAGGAACCCUUUCCUAUAAGAAUUUGCUAAAGUGCCUACUUUGGUUUGUGCAGCUCACAUGGAAUCAAGGUUUAAAGCUGCUGCCGGGGCUACUUGCACUCUUCUUCCUGAUAGGGAAUGUGGACUGAACAAGCUAUCACUGGUGGUUGCAACAGAUACUAUUCUCAGUUCCUCCCAGAAAUUGCAAGCCUGCUGUGGUCACUUUCCUGUGUCCCCUUUCUAAACAUAGCUCCCCUUAAAAAAGAAAAGAAAAGAAAAGAAAAGAAAAGAAAAGAAAAGAAAAGAAAAGAAAAGAAAAGAAAAGAAAAGAAAAGAAAAGACAUUGUUUCUACUGCCUGUUUCAAAAGACAUUGUUUCUACUGCCUGUUUCAUCAUAGUGCAUAGAAAGUAGGAGUAGGGUAGAGGCUGGUAUAUGAAAUGCCAUCAGCUUUGCUCCUCCCAUUCAGGUGGUCCCAGGUUUUACCCCUGGGGUGGCCAGAGAUUUGGGCAAACAUUAUUCUGGGUGUGUCUGUGAAGGUGUUUCUGGAUGUAAUUAACAUUUUAAUCAGUAAACUGAAUAAAGUAGCCUGCCCUUACUAAUGUGGGUGGGCCUUAUGCAAGCAACUGAAGAUCUAAACAGAAUGCAAAGGCUGAGUAAGAGGGAACUCCUCUGCCUGACUGCUGAGCUGGGACUCAGGUUUUCAGACUCAAAUGGAAAUAUUUGCUCUUCUUGGGCUUCAAGCAUCCAGCUUUCAGAUUGGCACUCAGAACACUGGGUUUUCUGGUCCUUAGGCCUUCAGUCUCAGACUGGAACUACACCAUCGGUACUCCUGGGUAUUCCACUUGCUGACGGUAGUUCUUGGGACUUUUCAGCCUUUAUAAUUGUGUGAGCCAAUUCCUUAUGAUAAAUCUCAAUCUCUCUUUCUCUAUGUUUUUUUCUUACUGGUUCUGUCUCUCUAGGGAAUCUUGACUAAUAUAAUAUCCAAAUGCAAGGGGUCAGCAAAAGCUAAGACAAUCUUAAUGGGGAAGGAAAACGUAGAAAGACUUACUCUACCAGAUGUCUAGACUUAUCAAGACCUAAUUAUUAAAAUAGCACAUUACAGAAGGAUAGACAAAAGACCAGUAGAACAGCACAGAAAGCCUAGAAAUAGAUCCAAAUAUAUACGGACAUUUGAUUUGUACAAAGAAGGUACUGCAAAGCAGUGGGUAAAGGAUGGUUUAUCCAAAAACAGCAUUGAAUUACAACCAUACAAAAAAAGUAAAACUUGUACCUCACCUUACACCAUACAUACAAAUCAAUUCCAGGUAGAUUGUAGGUCUAAAUGUAAAGGGCAAAACAAUAAAGCUUCUAGAAGAAACAUAGGCAGUGAUCUUCAUGACUAUGGGGUAAGGAAAGACUGUUUAAACAGGGCACUAAAAGUACUGACCAUAAAAAAAGACUGGUAAAUUGGACCACACUGAAAUUAAGACUAUCUGUUCAACAAAAAGAGAGUGAAGAGAGUGAAAAUGUAAGCCUCAGAGUGGCAGAAUAUAUUUGACAAACAUAUAACAGAAAAAGGCUCAUAUCCAGGACAUAUAAAGAACUCUAAAAAACAAUAGGUAAUUCAGUAGAAAAAUGAGCAAGAGACUUGAGUAGGGAUUUCACACAAAAAAAGGCUAUUUAAAUGGCAAAUGAACUCACUAGCAAUCAGGAAUAUGAAAAUUAAAACUACAAAGAGACACUGGCACAAGUCCAUAAGGAUGGCUGCAAUGAAAGAUACAACGCAGUGUGUUGGUAAGGGUGUGGAAAAAGGAGAAACCUCCACACUACUGGGAAAGGUGUAAUUGAUGUAAGUACUUUGGAAAAUUUUUUAGUAUUAUCUCCUAAAGCUGAACAGACGUAAAAAUGCCCAGAUCUGGGCAUUUUUACAUCUAGGUGUAUACUGGACAGAAAUAUCUAUGAUGUUUAAUAAAAUAUAUGCACACAAAUAUUUUUUCAUAAGCCUAGGC
rnacentral:lncRNA from 1 species